AUACGGAGGGUGCAAGCGUUGCUCGGAAUCACUGGGCGUAAAGCGCACGCAGGCGGCCAGGUAUGUCGGAUGUGAAAGCCCCGGGCUCAACCCGGGAACUGCAUUCGAAACUGCUUGGCUUGAGUCCGUGAGAGGGUGGUGGAAUUCCUGGUGUAGAGGUGAAAUUCGUUGAUAUCAGGAGGAACAUCGGCGGCGAAGGCGGCCACCUGGCUCGGUACUGACGCUCAUGUGCGAAAGCGUGGGUAGCAAACAAGAUUAGAAACCCUGUAGUCC
rnacentral:rRNA from 1 species